rnacentral:rRNA from 1 species
UACGUAGGCAGCGAGCGUUGUUCGGAAUUACUGGGCGUAAAGAGUGUGUAGGCGGUGCUCUAAGUUCGGUGUGAAAUCUCCCGCUUAACUGGGAGGGUGCGCCGGAAACUGGAGUGCUCGAGCGUGGGAGAGGAAAGCGGAAUUCCUGGUGUGAGCGGUGAAAUGCGUAGAUAUCAGGAGGAACACCUGCGGUGUAGACGGCUUUCUGGACCAUUGCUGACGCUGAGACACGAAAGCGUGGGUAGCAAACAGG